rnacentral:rRNA from 1 species
AACGCUGGCGGCGUGCUUAACACAUGCAAGUCGAACGAGGGAAUUGAAGCUUGCUUUGAAACCCGAGUGGCAAACGGGUGAGUAACGCGUAGGCAACCUGCCGUUGAGAUGGGGACAACAUCCCGAAAGGGGUGCUAAUACCGAAUGUUGUGAGAGCUUCGCAUGGAGCUUUCACUAAAGAUGACCUCUCCUUGGAAGUUAUCGCUAAGGGAUGGCCCCGCGGUGCAUUAGCUAGUUGGUAAGGUAACGGCUUACCAAGGCGACGAUGCAUAGCCGAGUUGAGAGACUGAUCGGCCACAUUGGGACUGAGACACGGCCCAAACUCCUACGGGAGGCAGCAGUAGGGAAUCUUCCACAAUGGACGCAAGUCUGAUGGAGCAACGCCGCGUGAGUGAAGAAGGUCUUCGGAUCGUAAAGCUCUGUUGUCGGGGACGAAUGUUGAGGCCUAGAACAUAGGUUUCAAAUGACGGUACCUGACGAGGAAGCCACGGCUAACUACGUG